UUAAAUUUUCUUUUAAAAAGGUGCUUCCUGGGUGAGUUGGGGUUUAGUCAAAGGUGCUGAGAUUACUGGUAAGGCAAUCCAGAAAGGUGCUUCUAAACUCCGAGAGCGGAUUCAACCAGAAGAAAAACCCGUGGAAGUUAGUCCAGCUGUCACCAAGGGACUUUAUAUAGCGAAGCAAGCUACAGGAGGAGCAGCAAAAGUCAGUCAGUUCCUGGUGAGACCUGCGGACCAGCAACAUCACAUCGUCCUAUCUGGAAUCCUUAGAAAUGCAGAAUUUUAGGGACAGACACACCUACUGAUUCAGAAUCUGCAUUUUCACAAGAUCCCUAGUUGAUGGAGUUUGCACUGUAGCAAAUUGCGUUGGAAAAGAACUAGCUCCACAUGUCAAGAAGCAUGGAAGCAAACUUGUUCCAGAAUCUCUUAAAAAAGACAAAGAUGGGAAAUCUCCUCUGGAUGGUGCUAUGGUUGUAGCAGCAAGUAGUGUUCAAGGAUUUUCAACUGUCUGGCAAGGAUUGGAAUGUGCAGCUAAAUGCAUCGUUAACAAUGUUUCAGCAGAAACUGUACAAACUGUCAGAUACAAGUA
rnacentral:lncRNA from 10 species